UACGUAGGGAGCAAGCGUUGUUCGGAUUUACUGGGCGUAAAGGGCGCGUAGGCGGCGUGUCAAGUCGAUUGUGAAAUCUCCGGGCUUAACUCGGAAAUGGCAUUGAAUACUAUCCCGCUUGAGGGUCGGAGGGGAGACUGGAAUUCUCGGUGUAGCAGUGAAAUGCGUAGAUAUCGAGAGGAACACCAGUGGCGAAGGCGAGUCUCUGGACGACUCCUGACACUGAGGCACGAAAGCCAGGGGAGCGAACGGG
rnacentral:rRNA from 1 species